rnacentral:rRNA from 1 species
GUAGGUGGCAAGCGUUGUCCGGAUUUACUGGGUGUAAAGGGAGCGUAGGCCGUCUUAUAAGCGUGUUGUGAAAUGUCGGGGCUCAACCUGGGCAUUGCAGCGCGAACUGUGAGACUUGAGUGCGCAGGAAGUAGGCGGAAUUCGUCGUGUAGCGGUGAAAUGCUUAGAUAUGACGAAGAACUCCGAUUGCGAAGGCAGCCUGCUGUAGCGCAACUGACGCUGAAGCUCGAAAGCGUGGGUAUCGAACAGGAUUAGAUACCCUGGUAGUCCACGCGGUAAACGAUGGAUGCUCGCUGUUUGCGUCUGACGUAAGCGGCCAAGCGAAAGCGUUAAGCAUCCCACCUGGGGAGU